rnacentral:rRNA from 1 species
UACGGAGGGUGCAAGCGUUAUCCGGAUUCACUGGGUUUAAAGGGUGUGUAGGCGGGCAGUUAAGUCAGUGGUGAAAUCUCCGGGCUCAACCCGGAAACUGCCAUUGAUACUAUCUGUCUUGAAUAUCGUUGAGGUAGGCGGAAUAUAUCAUGUAGCGGUGAAAUGCACAGAUAUGAUAUAGAACACCGAUUGCGAAGGCAGCUUGCUAAACGAUUAUUGACGCUGAGGCACGAAAGCGUGGGGAUCAAACAGG